CCCCAGACUCCUACGGGAGGCAGCAGUGGGGAAUAUUGCACAAUGGGGGAAACCCUGAUGCAGCGACGCCGCGUGAGCGAUGAAGUAUUUCGGUAUGUAAAGCUCUAUCAGCAGGGAAGAAAAUGACGGUACCUGAAGAAGAAGCCCCGGCUAACUACGUGCCAGCAGCCGCGGUAAUACGUAGGGGGCAAGCGUUAUCCGGAUUUACUGGGUGUAAAGGGGGCGCAGACGGCGAUGCAAGCCAGGAGUGAAAGGCCGGGGCCCAACCCCGGGACUGCUCUUGGAACUGCGUGGCUGGAGUGCAGGAGGGGCAGGCGGAAUUCCUGGUGUAGCGGUGAAAUGCGUAGAUAUCAGGAGGAACACCGGUGGCGAAGGCGGCCUGCUGGACUGCAACUGACGUUGAGGCCCGAAAGCGUGGGUAGCAAACAGGAUUAGAUACCCGUGUAAA
rnacentral:rRNA from 1 species